rnacentral:misc_RNA from 1 species
GAUGAAGAACGUAGCGAAAUGCGAUAAGUAAUGUGAAUUGCAGAAUUCAGUGAAUCAUCGAAUCUUUGAACGCACAUUGCGCCCGCUAGUAUUCUGGCGGGCAUGCCUGUCCGAGCGUCAUUUCAACCCUCAAGCCCCCGGGCUUGGUGUUGGGGAUCGGCGAGCCUCCGCGCCCGCCGUCCCCUAAAUCUAGUGGCGGUCUCGCUGUAGCUUCCUCUGCGUAGUAGCACACCUCGCACUGGGAAACAGCGCGGCCACACCGUUAAACCCCCAACUUCUGAACGUUUGACCUCGGAUCAGGUAGGAAUACCCGCUGAACUUAAGCAUAUCAAUAAGCGGAGGA